UACGUAGGGGGGCAAGCGUUGUCCGGAUUUACUGGGCGUAAAGAGCGUGUAGGCGGCCACGCAGGUCCGUUGUGAAAACUGGAGGCUCAACCUCCAGCUGUCGACGGAAACCGUGUGGCUAGAGUCCGGAAGAGGAGAGUGGAAUUCCUGGUGUAGCGGUGAAAUGCGCAGAUAUCAGGAAGAACACCAAUGGCGAAGGCAGCUCUCUGGGACGGUACUGACGCUGAGACGCGAAAGCGUGGGGAGCGAACAGG
rnacentral:rRNA from 1 species